UGCGGGAGACGAAGAUGGAGAAACCGCGGAAGAAGAUUUUGGUGCCAUUGAUCCUGACGGUGAAGAACCCGGUGCAUACGACGGAGGAGCUGGCGGAGAAGUCACCGGAGAAGAGGACGGAGAAACAUGGGAAUAUGAUUUAGGCGACAUUGAUCCCGGCGGAGAAGCCAUCGGGGUUGAGGACGGAGAAACAGGGGAAGAUGAUUUAGGUGACAUUGAUCCCGGCGGUGAAGAUCCCGGAGCAGAAGACGGAGAAGAUGAUUUAGGUGGCGCUGGCGGAGAAGUCACCGGAGCAGAUGACGGAGAAACAGGGGAAUAUGAUUUAGGUGACAUUGAUCCCGGCGGAGAAGUCAUCGGAGCAGAGGACGGAGAACCAGGGGAAGAGGAUUUAGGUGGCAUAGGUGCGGGUGGAGAAGUCGCCGGAGACAUAUGAGAGGAAGAUUUAGGUGCCAUUGAACCAGGUGGAGAAGUUGCCGGAGAUUUAGCGGAGGAUGAUUUAGGUGGCAUUGAACCCGGCGGAGAAUUCACCGGAGCAGACGACGGUGAAACAGGGGAAGAAGAUUUAGGUGGCAUUGAUCCCGGCGGAGAAGUCACCGGAGCAGAAGACGGAGAAACAGAGGAAGAAGAUUUAGGUGGCAUAAGUGCCGGUGGAGAAGUCGCCGGAGAAACAGGGGAUGAAGAUGAUUUAGGUGCCAUUGAACCCGUUGGAGAAGUCACCGGAGAAGAAGACGGAGAAACAGGGGAAGUCGAUUUAGGUGGCAUAUGUGCCGGUGGAGAAGUCGCCGGAGAAACAUGGGAAGAAGACUUAGGUGGCAUUGAUCCCGGUGGAGAAGUCACCGGAGCAGAAGACGGAGAAACAGGGGAAGUCGAUUUAGGUGGCAUAUGUGCGGGUGGAGAAGUGGCCGGAGAAACAUGGGAAGAAGACUUAGGUGGCAUUGAUCCCGGUGGAGAAGUCACCGGAGCAGAAGACGGAGUAACAGGGGAAGAGGAUUUAGGUGGUGUGUGUGCGGGUGGAGAAGUGGCCGGAGAAACAUGGGAAGAAGACGUAGGUGGCAUUGAUCCCGGAGGAGAAUUUCCCGGAGCUGCGGCUUGAGGAGGAGAGGGAGUUCUAACAGACAAGACAACGACAGUAAGCUUUUGUCCCUUCUUACAGUUAUCUUCAUUGCCACUGAUGAAGUAAAACGGACCAGAACGUUCAAGCGAGAUCUCUGAAGCUCCGUCGUCAACUUUCUUGAUCGGAUUCUUGGUAUUACACCCGUCGUAAUCAGCCUUGUUCACCUCUAGCACCGAGUCCAUUCCCUUAGCAUAGCUGAAAUCUGCAAGAACCCAAACCGAGUCUCAGACAAAACAAAACAAAAAACACUAAAAAGUAAUCACAUGACUAAUAAGAAAAGAUAGGCUAUUUGUACAUACAUAGUGUGUCGUGUACUAGGAACCGGCUCUUUCCAGCCCAAGAUCCGUAAUUUUCCGGCGGAUUUGGAACCCACGCGCCGCUCCCUCCGACUUCAAACCUCCUUGCAUCGGUAAAGAACGUAGAGAAAGAGAGGAGUACCGUGAAGAGGAAGAAACAAAGGCUAUUGGUUCUUAGAAACGCCAUGGCUUCUAAAAGCUGGGAGAUUAUGAGAUAAAUGGGUUUGUGUGACUAUGAUGAAUAUAUAGCAAUGAAAGGUUGUUAAAGAUGAAAUAAGAAAAAUGGGAAUAGGGCUAAAGGAAAGUGAACGUUUUGUCUUUAUGAUAAGGAGAAGAUGUCGACUACUACGUGUUUAAAAUUGAAUGUCGUAUCAAUUUGCUUCUUCAUUAAUACAAAAGAGUUUUCUCUCUGUAUCUACCGACGUUUUGAAAUUUUAUUAUAUCAUCGAAAAAUAGAAAAGUGGUACGAGUAUAGUGCGCGUUAAAGAGCGCUAUAGAACUGUGGCGAGAAUCGGAUUCAACACUAAAUCUCAGUAACUUAAUACUAGUAUAAGAAUACUAAAAAGUCUUAAAUCUGCAUCUGGUUCCAUUUUUUUUUUGGGUUGACGAGACAUGAUUAGUGUUGAUCUCAAAGAUGACAAAAAUGGCGGCUAUGUUUUUUAGCAAAGAGAGGAACCAUAAACAUGAACAUACACAUAUCUACUUCUUUACACGGUAAUUACAACAGUAGUGCUCCAUCUGUUGCUGAUAUAGUUACCAUCACUAGUUCUCGUUGCUUCUUGUACAAUGCAAGAGACACCAUUGGAAUCCUUAGGAAUAUUAUAGUAUUUUUUUUUUAAAUAGUUAAAAAUUCUAAUCAAAUUAGUAUGUCUAAUGGUGUUAUCCAAUUUGAAAUAUUUAAAAAAAAAAAUUAAUAAAUUUUAAAACUUGUGAAAUUAAAAUAAAUAUUUUUGCAUGAUUAACUAUUAUUAAGAAAAAAAAAUUAAAACAUGUCAAAUUUAAAUAUUUAUUUUUGCAUGAUUAACUUUCAUUAAGAAAAGAAAACAUGUAAAAAUAAGAUAUUUAUUUUUGCAUGAGUAACUAUCAUUAAGAAGUAAAAUAAGAUAUCCCAACCCUAAAUUGCGAGGAAAACAACAUGAAACCUAGCGUAAAUCCAUAAAUCAACAAGAGGACCCUUCGAUUUACCUUCGAUUGCGUUGAGAACCCUUCGAUUAUCCUCUUUACCAUCGAGAACCCUUCGAUUAAUGUUCUUCACUUUCGAGAGCAAAAUCGCCUUAUCGCCUCCUCUGAAUUUUUUGUUCUACAUAAUUUGUUUACUAAUGUCCCAUUUUUAAAAAUAUUUUAGGUCAAAAAAUUACUUAUCACAUAAAAACCUAACGUUUAGGCCGAAAAAUCUUAUGCCUACUAUUUGGUUACAAUGAAACUAUGUCAGCUCGGUUUUAUAUCAUGAUUUAGCAAUUUAAAAGUUAAUUAUGGUUAUAAGAAGUUUACGUUCACGUGUCAAUCCUAUCUAUCAUCGAUAUUUUUAUAAUUUUUGUAUCAUUUUGGUUAUUUGCUUGAUAUAAAUAUUAAUUUUUUGAGUUUAUUCUCAUUUCUUUCUUUUAUUUUGGCCUGAAAUUUAGAAAAUAUUUAAGAUUCAAAAUUAUUAAAGAGAUACAUACUUAGGUUAAGAUUUGUGUCUUGUGCAGAAUAAAUAUUUUAUAUUUAUUACUUAUUUUAUAUUUUUGUGCAUAUUAUGAAAUAAUAAAAUAAUAAUUAUAUAUUAAAUGACUAAGAAAUCAGUUACUAUUAUGUAAUAAAUUAGCUUGCAAUCAAAUGACCGCUCUUGUAUAUUCGCAGUCAUUUUAGAAUAAAUAAAUCAAAACAAUCAAUCUUAUCUAUCGUAUAUGAUAUAUAAUUAAAUUUAAAGGAUAUGAAAUAUAUAUAUAUAUAUAUAUGUAUUAACAUAAACACCUAUUAAAAUAAAAUUAUUUGUUUAUAUGAUUUUAUUAUCAUUGUAUCUUAUUAUAAAAAAAAUUUAAACAUUGAUCACAAAAGUUUAUGUGAGACUUUUAAUAGUUUUAGUAAUUUAUACUCAUUUUGAAAAAAUCAAAAUACAACAUAUACAAAAAAAUCUAAAUUUUUAAUAUAUGAUUAAUGUAACUGUGUAAUUUAUUUUAAUAAUAAAGAAUUAAACAAAAAUUAUAGAAAAUAUACAAAUUAUUAGCAAAUCUUCAUUAUUUAAAAUCAUUAAUUAUUAUAUAUAUCAUAAUCACAUUAGGUACUUCCGUAAGUUUUAUUUAAAGAAAUAAUAUAUAAUAAAUUUCAAUUUGAUAAAUAAAUGGUCCAUAAUGGACAUACUCUAUAAUAUAACAUUCUCUAGCAAUUUAAUUUUAGACUAAAAAAAUUAUCAAUUGAUUUUCAAGCCGCCACGUAAACAAAUUAUCAUUCCAGUUACGUGACAAUUCAGUAUGACACUUUUUUAAUUAGUACAAACUACAGGUUCUAAACUUUUUAAAUGUUUAUCUAUUAAUAUAUAGGAGAUGUUAAACCAUUGAUCAUUAAUUUUUAACAUAAUAAUUUUAAUAGUAUUAGUAAUUUUGUCGUUUCUAAAAAUUCAAAAUAUAACAUAUACGAAAAAAUCUAUAUUUUAAUUUCAUAGCUAAUUUGAUUGUUUAAUUUAUUUUAAUAAUAUAAAAUUAAACAAAAACAAUGGAUGGGAUAUAAAUUGUUAUCAAAUCUUUAUUAUUAGAAUCAUUAAUUGUCAUAUAUACAUUAGUCAUAUUUGGUAAUUCCGUAGCUUUUAUUUAAGGAAAGAAAAGAAAAUAGUAAUUAUACACUUUAAUUAAUUUUAUGAUUAGUUUAAUGAAAAUAUAAUAUAUACUUAAUUGGAACAACAUAUUUUCUAAAGAUUCUGAAUUUCAUUCGGGUGAUGACACGUGGCUACACUUAAAGGUUGUAAUGUUUCUCAAUUAAUAUAUAAGAAUUCCUCUAAAAUUAUCACAUCAAUCUAUUAUUUCUUAAUGACUGAAAACAUGGAUACAAAACAAAUUAUAUAGAAAAUUGGACAUAUGCCUAAGUAAUAAAGUGUCAUUAAAAUAAAUAAAUAAAUAAAGUGUCAUUUUUCACAUUCAAAGCUUCUCCAAAAAUAAAUACACAUUGUAUAAAGCCGUAUUAAUGGAUACACUAUUAAUUAACUAGUGGUUUUGAAAUGAUUUAUUAUUGGGUUCACCAAAAGAUAAAAUUGCGUUAUUUCAUAUUCGAUAUCUUUUAAAAAAAGAAAUAAAAUAUUAUCAAAUUAUAUUAUGUUUUUAAAAUUAAAAAGUAAAAAGAAAUAAAUUAAAAAAUUGUAAUAAUUACAAAAAAAAAUAUUUUUAACGUUGUCAGCAAAACACUAAACACCCUAAACCAUUGGGUAAACUCUAAACCCUUGAAUAAAUCAUAAAUUCUAAAUCAAAAUCAGCAAACACUAAAACAUUCAAGGGUUUAGAGUUUAGGAUUUAGGGUUUAAAGUUUAGGGUUUUAGUAUUUAAUGUUUUUUAUUUAGAGUUUAUGAUUUAUCUAAGAGUUUAGGGUUUACCCAAGGGUUUAGGGUUUAGGGUUUAGGGUUUAGAGUUUAGGGUUUAGGAUUUAGGGUUUAUCCAAGAGUUUAUGGAUUAGGAUUUAGGGUUUAGUGUUUUGCCGACGACAUUAAAAAAAUUUAUUUUUUUAAUUAUUUUUCUGUAACUACUAUUUUUUUUACUUUUUUUUAUUUUAAAAACAUAAUAUAAGUUGACAAUAUUUUGUUUUUAAAAAAAAAAAAAAUUUGAAUUUAAAAUAAUGAAAUCCUAUUGGUUGGUGAACCUAAAGAUUCUAUCUUGGCGUAAACCCAAGAAUAACAGCUUUUAAAUAUGUUCAUAGACAAAUAUAUAAUAUAAACAUGUCUAAAAAUAAGAAUACCAAAUUAAUGAUUAAUAAAAUAUCAGAUUUUCUUACUUUGUGUUAAAGAUUUACAAUAAAUGAAUCCAAAAGGUAAUACAAUCUACAUAAAAUUUAACAGAAAAAGUCUACCUAAAAUACAUUAGCAUCUCAAAUACGUUUUAAAUGUCCAAAUCUCUGUACUUGUCCACGUAUUUAAGUUGGAGAUUAUAUACUCAAUUUGUGUAACAUAUUAGUGUAAUUCAUUACAUUAACAGUAUCUUGUACAUAUAAUUUCGAUUUCUUUUCUUUUGCGGAAAACAAUUUACCUAUAGUUGAUUUUAAAAGUUCAUUUCCAAAAUGAUACGUGUCACAUAACUACAUAAUAUAGAGAUAAUAGCUAGAAAACGUGUUACAACAAAAAAGUAACUUUUAAUUCCUUUUACUAUUUUCCCUCAUCAUGCCAGCAUUAUAUAGGUUCUUAUAAAUAAGAAGAAAAGACGAGACCAUCUUUUCAUAACUUUUAAAUUCUUCAGAACGAAAAUUGAUUGAGAGAAAGAAAAAUGGUGAGACCACGACUGCUUGUAGUGUCGAUGUCGCUUCCGGUUACUGCAAAGAGGACCGGAGAAGAAACUUGGUCUUUCACCAUGAGUCCUGGUGGUCUAGUUAGUGCUCUUCUAGGUAAGAAGAUAGUCUACAACUUUAACAAUGUAGCAAUGAAUGAAUUAAAUAAGCACAAUAAACCGAUUUUUAUAUAUAUUACAUUAAUUUGUGGUGAUAUAUCUCUUAAAGGUUUGAAAGAGUUUGAGACCAAAUGGAUUGGCUGGCCUGGAGUCGAUGUUCAUGAUGCGGUUGGAAAAAAGGCACUCUCCAUUGCUCUAGCCGAAAAGGUAAACGUAUAGAUUUUGAACUCUCAUAUAUAUUAUUGUAAAAUGAAAAAAGGCAAAAAAUAAUCAAGACCUUAUUCAUGUCUUAUUUUGUUUAUUAAAGCCUUAUACAUGUCUUAGUUGAUUUUUAAAACGCUUGACUUUGAUUUGUAGGGGUGUAUCCCGGUGUUUCUGGAGGAAGUUUGUGAUCAAUACUAUAAUGGCUAUUGCAACAAUAUUCUGUGGCCGAUUUUUCACUACUUGGGAACCCCACCAGAAUAUCGUAACGAUGUAAUCAUAACAUACCAGUCACAGUAUGAUGCAUACAAGAAAGCAAAUCGUAUUUUCUUUGAUGUGGUAAACGAGCAUUAUCAAGAAGGAGAUGUGGUUUGGUGCCAUGAUUACCAUGUUAUGCUUCUUCCUCAAUAUCUAAAAGAAUACAACAGUAAGAUGAAAGUUGGAUGGUUUCUCCAUACGCCAUUCCCUUCCUCCGAGAUGUACAAAACCUUGCCCUCAAGAUCAGAACUGCUUCGUUCUGUUCUUACUGCUGAUUUAGUCGGGUAAAUGUUUUUUACCUUUUUAACAGUGUAGUAACUAUUUUGAAUUUGAAAGUAAACUUACCUCUUACUCUUUUUUAUUUCUCUGCCUUUUUUGUUUCUAGUUUCCAUACGUAUGAUUUUGCAAGACAUUUCGUGAAUGCAUGCAUGUGUAUUCUUGGAACCGAAGCAACAUCUGAAGGAGUUGUGGAUCAGGGCAAACUCACUCGUGUAGCUGUUGUAAGGAUCCAUCUUGAAAAUCUCUUAAGAUUGAUGAUUUAGUCAUCUCCUAAUGAAAUGUUAAUUUUGGUUUGCUUUCUUUUUUUCUAUUUGGAUAUAUUAGUUUCCCAUUGGGAUAGAACCUGAGAGGUUCAUAAACACAAGUAAACUCUCUGAGGUCACAGAAUACAUGAAGAAGUUUAAAUCAGAUUUUGGGGGCAGAAAGGUAGAUUUAUACUUUUAUAUAUGAUGCUUGAAACAUAAAAGGGAAAAUGAUUUGACAUAUAUAAUUAUGUUUGUUGACAGUUGAUACUAGGUGUUGAUCGUCUCGACACGAUCAAAGGGAUACCACAUAAGUAUCAGGCAUUUGAGAAGUUUCUUGAGGAAAAUGAAGAUUGGCGUGGUAAAGUUUUGUUACUUCAGAUUGCAGUGCCAACAAGGAAUGGUAUUGGUGAAUGUAAGUUUUUUAUAUCUCUUUUAUUUCUUUAGCUGAUAUGCAUCGAUCAAUUCAUAGGAUUGUGUUUAUGUUCUAUAACAGAUCAAAAGAUCAAAGACCAAUGUCAUGGACUUGUUGGACGUAUUAAUGGUCGUUUUGGUUCUAUCUCUUCCGUUCCAAUAAUCCACCUGGUUUGUUAUUUUCUCUCUUUUAUCCUCAUCACAAGUCAUAUCUUAUAGUUUCUGAUACAUAUUUCAUCUUUCUGUGUUAGGAUUGUUCUAUUCACUUUCAUCAACUGUGCGCACUUUACGCCAUCACAGGUAAUUCUCAUAUUACAUUUGAUGAUUUAGUCACAUAUAUUAUAAAACGGUUAUAUAAUGUUAAAGAUUAGUGUCGAUGUAUAUUCCUAACAAAUGAGUUUAUUUUCAUCUUUGUUUCUUCAGAUGUAUUACUUGUAACAUCUUUGAGAGAUGGAAUGAACCUUGUGAGUUCUGAGUUUGUUGCCUGCCAAAAAGGGGAAAAAGGAGUUCUCGUUCUAAGCGAGGUAACCUAACUUUGAUAGGUCUGAUGUUAAGUAUAUGAAUUGUAUUUUCUUUCUCUGGUCUGAAAUAUAUUUAUGAAUCUAAUAACCAACAGUUAUCAUUCAAAAGUAAUAUAUUUUUGUAUUGAGUUUCACAGUUUGCAGGUGCUGGUCAGUCACUUGGUGCUGGAGCUCUUCUUGUGAAUCCUUGGAACGUUAAAGAAGUUUCUAAUGCCAUUGGAGAAGCUCUAAGCAUGUCACGUGAAGAAAAGGAGAAAAAACAUCAAAUCAAUUUUCAGUAUGUGAAAACACACUCUACUCAACAGUGGGCAGAUGAUUUCAUGAAGUAUGUGACAAAUCACAACAUUCAUUCUCUUUAAAUCUCAUCUCAACUAUUGUUCUUAUAGACAAGUCUUACAAUUUUUUUUUUAUUUGGUUAGUAAACUAAAUGAGGUUACAAGUAAAGCGGAGCAAGAAACUGGAAAAGCCCCACAUGAACUUCCACAACAUGAUGUGGUUCAACAAUAUUCAAAGUCUAAGAAUAGGCUGCUAAUUCUUGUAAGUGUUAUAUGUAUCAAGAUGGUCUUGUACAUUGCAUAUUAUUUUGGUCACUUAUCUUUAUAACUGUAUAAAAUGUUCAGGGCUUUUAUGGAACACUCACUAAGCCAAACAAAAACCAAGAGAGAAGAGACGAAGGAAUGAAUCUUGAACUUCACCCACAGCUAAAAGAAAGACUAAAAGCAUUAUGCAGUGAUCCAAAAACAACAGUAGUUGUCCUGAGUAGAAGUGAAAAAAGCGUAUUGGAUCAAGUAAAUGUUUUCUCUCGUCUUUAUUAAAUUUACUUACUUGCUUUCUCAUUGUGGACUUACUUAGUAUCUUGAAAACAGAACUUUGGAGAGCAUGAUAUGUGGUUAGCCGCGGAAAAUGGAAUGUUUCUAAGGCAUACAGCUGGGGAGUGGGUGACGAAAAUGCCAGAAAACAUGAACUUGAAAUGGAUUGAUGGUGUCAAGGUUAGUAAAUAAAAUAUAUUUUUAGAAUUAAAGUUUGAUACCCUCAUCCAUGUUUUAAUUCUUUUGUGGUUGCUUUUGUCUACAGCAAGUAUUCAAGUACUUCACUGAAAGAACACCAGGAUCCUACUUCCAAGCAAGCGAGACUUCGGUUGUAUGGAAUUACCACUAUGCAGGUGAUUUACUUUAUACGUAUAUGUUUUUUUUUUUUAACUUCUACUAAGAAUAACUACUGAAGACAACUACUUGAUCUUUAUUUAUUUGUAGAUGCUGAAUUUGGGAGAGCUCAAGCAAAAGAUAUGUUGCAACACUUGUGGGCUGGACCAACCUCUAAUGCAUCAGUGGAUGUUGUCCAAGGACGCUACUCUGUUGAAGUCCAUUCGGUUGGUGUAACAAAGGUAACUAAUGCUAUUGUUUUCAUUUGUUUCUACAUCAUCAAUUACCAAAAUAUUCUAAUUAUUCUUUGAUCUAUCACAUGUUGUCUCUUCUCUGUUAUCUUAGGGAAGUGCAAUGGAGCGUAUCCUCGGAGAAAUAGUACUACAGAAUAAGUCGAUAACUACACCAAUUGAUUAUGUCUUAUGCAUUGGUAAUUUCUUGGGGAAGGUAAGCUUCUUAUGUAACCAAAUGUUGAUUAUACAAUUACAUAUCCAUGGAUUUUGAUACAAGGGUUGAUAUAUGUUACAGGAUGAAGAUGUUUACACCUUCUUCGAGCCCGAGUUAACCAAGAAAACCAUGUCUUCUCCUUAUUAUGGCAGUGGCCCCCUCAAGAAGGUGUCAUCGACCCUUGUUGACGUAAAGGGAGACAACUACUUCUCUGUGGCUGUUGGGAACACGCACACAAAGGCUAGCUAUUUCCUUGACUCAUCUGAUGAUGUUGUGCAGUUGAUCCACAAGCUUUGCACACACAAUAAUCCUUGACUCAUCAUCAUAUGGUGCCCUGAUGAUCCUCUUAGAAUUUUCUUUUGGCUAAAUGGCACUAUUAAAGACUUUUAUUUGCUAUUUUUUACCUUUGCAAAACUCAUUAUUGUUCUCUGCUUUUCAGUUUCUCACAUUGUCUCUUUGACUCUUACUAUUUAUCUCUUUGUCUUUUUUUUUUUUUAGUUUUAUAAUGAAAAGAAACUCUUUAAGAAAAUAUUUAAUGGAAUUGACAAUAAAACAGAGAUGAACAUAGGAAUUAUAACGUGGAGAACAUUUGCACACACAGACACAUGAUCUUGAUAUUUGGAAAUGAAAAAUCAAAGAAUCACAAGAGGCGCCUCAUCGGUUUUUGCAGGUGCGGUCUCUUGUGUUGGUGUCUCAGACUCAGAAGGAGCUUUCUCAUCUGCCUUGACAGCUUCUGGAGUUGGCUCGGCCUUGGUUGCCUCAGAGGAGUCCUCUUUUGUCUCACCUUCUUUCUUUGCUUCUUCACCAGACUCUUCCUUCUUCUCCUGUGAAUCAAACAUAUCAACAACAAUAGUUUCAUCUUAACAUGAGUUUGUUCAAACAAGACACAAGAAAUGAUCAUAUGUGAUUCAAAAAAACCUGAGUUAAUGUGGUAUCUGUCUCGGUCGUGACAUCCUUGGACUCAACAACAACAUUUUCGGUUGGUGCAGAGCCUUCAACGAUGUCAGAUUCCUUAGGUACGCUCGCACAACCUCCCAUUUUUUCUUUUUUUAUUGAAAGGAUUAGCUUGAAAAAAAUUACAAUGGGAAGAGCUGUGGAGCAAAACAAAAAUGAUAGAUAGAGGGGAGAGGCCUGUAAAGAGAUAUAUAGGAGAUUGUAUAUAGACAAAUGCUAUUUCAGGUAAUUUUCAGAUUCAUUGGUAAUGAGACCUUUGAAUUUCUGUCACGUUCCUAUUUAUCAGGAGGACAGCUUCAUGCCCCACCGUAACUCUCUGUCUGGUUUAGGGACACAAUAACAUUUCCUGGAUACAGAAAUACUACAACCGAACUGGAUAAAAAAGUAAUGAGGCACAUGACCAAAUCUUGUGUUAAAAAACACUUUCAUAUAUCAUAUUCUAGCCGCUGAAAUGGAUAGUGUCUCAUAUUUUGAAAGCUGGAAAAGAUGGCUUUCUGUUUUCUUUCAGGCCCAAAGAAUUAUCUAAUUCUUGGUUUGCGUGUCUACUAUGUCUCCUGAAAUGAUAUCAUAAUCUAAUAUAAUUUAGUAUAUGUUAUGUUUAGAUAGAUAAGACCAACUCCAUUGGUUAGACUCCUUAAUCGGUUCUUAAAAUUAAUUUAAUAGUUAAUUGUGUACUUUAUAAAGUUUAGAACUCCUAUUAAUAUAAUUAGUUGUGUGAAAGUCCAAUGGGAAAACCCUUUCUUAAAUUUUUAAAAAAAAUUGAAUUAUUAAAUUUAAAUAUUACAAAACUUAUAAAUUAUUGGAUUUCAUAACAUUUAAACAAAUAUGACAUAAAAACAUAUGAAAAAUAGAAAUACAAAUUUAUAUCAUGAAUUUAACAUUCCGGUGAGCUUCAUAUGUUCAAUGAAGUUAACAUUUAGAGACAACUUGGAGAAGACAUACAACAAAUCUGCAAGUUCAGUAACAAACAAGAGUCACAACUUUGUAACAAAAGAUCAAGAAUGUCAUUAGAGUUUUAACUAACCAUCUUGUGUCACGAGAGGAUAAUCUGAUGCACUAAGGUUGAUGAACCAAUCCCAAUCCAAGCUCUCCUUAAGCAAAACCGCCACAACUUGAAGCGUACAAGCGAUCAUUGUAGGGCCUUUAUAGGCAACGAGAUUAGACUGUGACAUAACACGGACGUUUGCAACUUCACGGAAAGUAGGAUCACUCUUCACAGACAUUGCAAGCUCCAGCCUCUCCUUAGGUGGAGCUUCGAGGUCUAAAUGGAGAACAUAUUGGUUUCUUGGAUGGUACACAGCUUGCAAAGUCCUCAUCAUCAUGUGGCUAUCUCCUUUAGCACCUGAGAUCAGAUAAGCUAACCUAGGAACCUCUGAAGAAUUCGAAGAACUCCCGUUUGAGUUUAAAGUCUCUUCAAAUUUCUCUUUUUCCUUUAGCAUCACCAGUGGAUUUUCUAUCAGCUUCUCUUCUCUGAGCAAUUUCAGAGUGUGCAACCAAGAAAUCUCCAAUUAUAAUUGCAGAAACACACAGAUCAGAGCAACCACAAGACUAUGUACUUCAAUACUCAUCUACCACUCAAAAUGAAUCGAUUGACCCAAAGAAAAAAAUGUUAACUUUUACUGAAAAACAUGAAUGUUAGAGCAUAACAUGUUAUCAUAAUGAAUCCAUUCCCAUAUAUAUCACAAAUAUGAUCAGAACACGACAGGAUUUAAUUGUACAAAGAAGUUCAACCAAGAGAAACAAGGUGAUAAUGUAUUUCAAAGAGAAACUAAGAAAAGUUUGUCUAUAUAAACCACGUGAUCAACAAACCAAUUCAUGAGGAAAAGAGUAUAGUUUUGAAGAGCUUAUGUAAGGUAAUCAAACCAACACACAAAUUAGGGAGAAAAGAAGUAUUCUUUUGAACACCACCGGUUCUUUUUUAUCUAUCCAUACCUUUUGCAGAUUCAAUACAAAUUAGUUAACUUUCUCAUAAAAUAAAGAUGACAAAUUUUGAUUUUUGAUUACAGAGAAAGAGAGAGAAUGAAGUAGACGAACCUUGGUGCCUUGAUCGAAAGAGUUAACCCUGCAGAGGCAAAGUGCAAAAAUGUCUCUUUUCUUCGAUUGAUUCCCAAAUUCGAAGAAACCUAAAUUCCCAAAUCAGAACAUCAAAAUCCCUAAAUUGAGAUAAUACCUACGAAAUCAAACAUGAUGAAGAAGAAAGAAUUAAGGUUUGGGAUCUGUAUAGAAGAAUUGAUUUACCCGAAAAACAGAAAGAGAGAAAGACAUACAAGAAAAGCCAAUAAAAAAUGGACACGUUAGGGGUUUUUAUUGAUUCUAAAACCCUCUUAUAAGAACCGGUUGCUAUGUUUUUUUUUUUCUUUUUGAUUUAUUUUUUGUUUUUUUUUUAAAGAAUCAUUCCUUAUUAACAACUUCUAAUGGAGGUGUUCUAAGAUAAUCAGUCACAUGUACUGUGUUCAAAAAAAAAAAAAUCAGUGACAUGUAGGAGUACUAUAAUUAUUCUAAUAAUUUCAAACAUAUUUUUAUAAUCACUUUAAAAAUCAUUUUAGUUAUGACAUAUCAUUAUAGUUCACAUGUUACAAUGUUUCUCAGUUAAUGUAAAAGAGAUUUUAUCUCAGACUUAAAAGCUCAGGAUCAUGUAUAUAAUCCCUAGAAAUGGUCAAGGCAUAAUUUAUUAAAUUUCCAAAGAUGCGUUACCCAAAAAAAAGGAAGAUUUUGUUUGGCAACGCGCGUUACGCCUAAAUCAGAAGAAAAUCAUAGUCAAAGUUGUGAAUGCAUGCAUGAUGACCUCGUAAACAAGGUUCUAUAAAUUGGAACAUUUUCUAUCUUUCACAUAUUUCUCAGCCGCAAAGCUAGAAAAAACAAACACAAACACAUCACAUCACAUCAAUCAAACACGACGAUGAAUAGGUUCUCGUGCUUUUUGCUUACCAUUGCAUUGAUCGUUGGGUCUAGUAACGCAAUCUGGGAAAAAAACAGUCUCCACUUCAAAAGUUCUCUUCGUCCGGGCAAUACACUGAGGAUUCGUUGUCUAUCGAACGACGACGACUUGGGUGUUCAUUUGUUGAGCCCUGGACAGACCUACGAUUUUAGUUUUCAUGAUAGUAUUUUGAAGACCUAUUUCGAUUGUACCUUAGACCAGGGUCCUAAUUUCUCGUUUCAUGCAAGUUUUACAGCUUAUAAAAGUGGUGGUGGCAUUAUUCGUUAUGGUAAGACCAACUUUUGGGAUGCUAGAGAAGAUGGCAUGUACUUCACACACGGUCAGGAAGCUCCCAAGUUAGAGUAUAAGUGGAUACAUGUUUAAGUGGAAUUUCAAAAUCAUUUUUUUUUUGUAACGUGUAAACCUUUUGGAAUAGUAAAUAUAUGAUUUAUUUCAGUGUUCUAAAAUCUGCGCAUAGGUACGCAUCUACUAUAUUGUUUUCACGUUUUGUAGUGUUUUAAGUCGAUAAUACUCCAUCCCUUUAAAAAAAAAAAUAUUUUAAAAAAUAUAUAUUUAAAAAAAGAAUAUUUCAAAAAUAUAUGUUUUGUAUUUUCAAUGAAUAAAUUAAUUGUAAAUUGUAAACUUCAAAAAAUAUAAUAGUAUUUAUAAAAAAUUUGUUGGUUAAAAAUUAUGGAGAAUAGUUGAUAACAGAAAAUAUUGUAUUAGUAACUAAAAUCUCAUAUAUUUUUUUAAUAAGCGUGAAAAACCUAAAACAUACAUCUUUCUGAAACGGAAGGAUUAGCGUUUAUAUUAUACCGUCUAUGACUGAUUUUAAACAUUACUAUUCAAAAAAAUUCUAAUAUUUAUAUGAUUAUAUAUUUUUAAAUGUUAUUAUUUAUGUUAACUGCUAUUUGUUUUAUGUAUUUAUAUGAUUAUAGUUAUUAGUUUAACUGUUUGUAAAAUAUUUAAAAUUUAUGAAUUUAUCAUCUUCAUAUUUCUAAACAUGUUUUUAUUUUCUUAUAAUUUGAAACUACUUAUAUAUGUUAAUUUAAUUUUAUACAACUUUUAUAUUUGAAAUAUUUUGUGUUCAGUUUUCUAAAACUAACAACUAUAUUAAUCUUAUAUAUAUAUCCGUUUAGGUGUCAUUUAGAAAGCUGAUUUAUUUAUUAUACAUGUAUUAUACCAUGCCUCUUAAUAAGUCUACCCAAGGAUAUGUUAUCCAUGACCCAUCAUAGAAGUUUCAUACUCUGUUGCAUAACAAUUGUGUCUACAGAGUGACAAGAGGCUAUAUACUAAAAUGUUACAUACAACAAAUAAUCCAAUGUUUUCCACUACAUGAAAAAAGAUAUUACAAGUUAGUUGCAAAAGCAUUACUACAUAGAAACAAAGAAUCGAUCAAAGCUAAAUAAAAAUCACAGGCUAGAGAGAUUUGAUCAAGACCCAACAUCAGUUCCAACACUGUUGAGGCGGAAGUCAUGUGACCGAGCCAGCUCUACCGCAUCCUGAACCCUAAGCCUGGUUCCCUGUUGACCAACCACAGUGGCUGCAAUCGUAGCAGCCAACUCUCCCAUUCCUUUCAAGUCAGUGACACCUCUCAAGAUACCGUAUAAGAUCCCUGAAGCGUAUGCGUCUCCAGCACCACACGUGUCAACCGGCACGCACGGUGAUGGAGGAAUGUAUAUGGCUUCUCCUUUGGCUCCAAUGUAUGACCCGUUGAUUCCAUCGGUCACUGAAACAAAUGGGACAAAGUGGCUCAAGUACCUUGUAGCUGAAAUAGGGCUUUCAUCUGCGGAGAAGUGACAAAACGCUCUUGCUUCAUCGCUGUUGGCAAAUAUAAUGUCUGCAUAGUUGCCCACAAUGUCCCUGAAUCAACAUAAAACAAUCAAAAGAUUAAGAUAACUUCUAACCAAGCUGUAGAAGCAGGAGGAGCAAGAAAAGCUCACCAGAAAUCAUCAUAGUGCCUCUCAAUGCAAGACACAUCUGAUGCAGUCACAGCAACAAGGGCUCCGUUUCUGUGUGCUUCUUCACAGGCUUUGGUUAUGGUCCUUAUAGUAUCAGGAAGCUCAAACAAGUAGCCUUCCACAACAAAGACAUUUGUCUUGGAUAUCAAACUAGCCAAACAAGAAUCAUAAUUAACCACAGAAGAUGUUCCCUGAAAAGUUGUACAUUAAAAAUUAGGUUUGUUAAUUAGAAAGAAAAAAAUAUGUUAAAAAAAUCUUUCAUUUAGUAAUAUUGGGAUACUCUGAACAUAUAAUACCAUACCUGAUAUGCAAGCAUGGUACGCUGUGCAUCAGGAGUUGUGAGAACAAUCACUGUCCCUGUUGUUCCAUCCAUGAUUGGAGCAGAAAGAAAAUUUAUAUUUGCUCGCCGUAAUUUAGUCCUACAGAUGAACUGCCUUUGUUAGUAAAAUCAAACCAACCAUGUAAGAACAUGAAUCAUAAAAAAACUAAUAAACCUUUCAAGCACAAAGACAAACUAUAUAGUCUAGUAACUUUACUAAACUCAAUGCUAAUUAUAGAUCAACCACUUAUCCCUCAACAUAAUUUAACCUUAACCUCCAAUAACUAAGAGAAGAGCCAAAAAGAAAAAAGUAUAUAAAGAGAGAGUUGUGUACCUGUAAAAGCUACCGAGAGGGUCACCAGCAAUACUACCAGCCAUAGCGACAUUCAAAGGGCGGUCAGUGAUUGAAGGACAACCUAAUCUCGCCAAAGCAACAAGAGUGUUGGACAA
rnacentral:lncRNA from 1 species